GCAGUGGUGGCGCUAAUGGUUAGACAGUCAGACUUGUAACCCGAAGGUCGUGGGUUCGAGUCUCAGGUCCGGCA